rnacentral:pre_miRNA from 2 species
GCGUCUUGCAUGUGGGACAGGUAGUAUGGGUCUUGACAUGUGACUCAAUACAAGUUUUGUGAAACUCGUGGCUGCACUUUGUUUUCAAUGUAGGAGCCGAAGC